rnacentral:lncRNA from 1 species
GUCAGUUCGUUAGGUAUUUGUGUUUGAACUUAACACACGGGGAAACUACGCAUUGACGUCACUACGCUACUUCCGGCGUAGAAAAACAGUGCAGAAUAUGUUUUUUCUGCACUUUUGAAUAAAAAAACAUUUUUAAAGGUAAGUUUUCAUUGUUGUUCUCAAUUAUUGCUAAAAAAUGCCAAUUUUAUAAAGCCCGUUUCAAUCCCGACUUCCGAAUGUCUAAAACCAUUCUAGAA